CCGACCUAAACAAGGCGGAUGCCAUGAGAAAAACGUAACGCAAUGGCAUGGCUGUGUAGCGUUCGAAAAACGCUCGACGAAAGAAAAUUUAUAGUAUGUAGCUUGCGACGAGUGUAGUGAGUGAAAUUAAUAAAGUGAUCUAAAGUAUAAAACGUAAGAUGUAUAAACUGGAUGUACCUGAAAGUGUCAAAGAAGCAGAAGUAGAGGUACGAAGUGAAGUUAACUUUCUGCAAGGAAACGACAGCCAAAGGCAUUACCUGCUAUAGAAAGUUAUUGGAGUUAUCGUAGCAAUGAUUUUCUUGGCACUGCCUUCUGAGAACUGUAAGGACGACUGUCGGGCACGUCGUACAGGAUGCCGGACACGUGGGAUGACUGGAAUAUAGCGGGAGUUUCACCUUGGAAUAAGAGAACCAGUGUGUCCUGUUAGAACACCGUUGAAGCGAAGGGAUGAAUCACAUCCACUAGGAGGCAAAACUCAUGGACUGUAUUCAUGUGCGUCUCAAGGGUCGUGACGACGAAAACUUACGAUCCUGUCGUUAGCAGCUGAGAUAUUUCUAAAUUAAUCGAGGCAUUCGUUGUAUGUACAGCUGACCUCACAAAUAAAUUUAACUCAGU